GAUCACAGUGAUGACUCCAUGAAAUUCAAGCUCAACAGACCGGAAUGCAGUGCUUUCUCUAUGAGUUUGCUUUGCGUGUCGAAAACCCCGCUGAACUGAGUGAUC